UGGACGGAUCUCGGGGGAUUCCAGAUCACCUGGAGGAAAGAAAAGCACCAGAAUCCCAUUACAUGUUACCUUAGAGGUAAACCAACAAGUUGGCCAAAUGACUGGGUUAUAACCAACAUGGCCAACUUGCACUGAGCAUUUACUCCAUGCCAGGCUGAAACAUGAAUGUGGCAGUGACCCAGCUUUGACAAUUCAGUAGGGGUAACAUCCUGGAGAGUGCCAGAGCAACAAGAUGGAAAGAACCUGGAUUAUUGAAUAACUUUAUGGAAUAUAGUGACUUCCCUGCUCUGAACCACCUUCUAUCUCUGACUGUGACAUCAGAGAGAAAUAUACUCCUGCUUUAUUUGAGUCACUGUAUUUUGAGGUUACUUAGCCUACAUCCUAAUACAUCUUCUUUUAGAUUG